UGGGUAACCUGCCCAAGAGACUGGGAUAACACCUGGAAACAGAUGCUAAUACCGGAUAACAACACUAGACGCACGUCUAGAGUUUAAAAGAUGGUUCUGCUAUCACUCUUGGAUGGACCUGCGGUGCAUUAGCUAGUUGGUAAGGUAACGGCUUACCAAGGCAAUGAUGCAUAGCCGAGUUGAGAGACUGAUCGGCCACAUUGGGACUGAGACACGGUCCAAACUCCUACGGGAGGCAGCAGUC
rnacentral:rRNA from 1 species